ensembl:snRNA U6 U6 spliceosomal RNA
GUGCUCGUUAUGGCAGCACAUGUUCUAAAAUUGGCAUGAUACAGAGAAAAUUAGCAUGGCCCUUGUGCAGCGAUGACGUGUAAAAUCAUUUUCAAGACCGACUAUUC